GACGAACGCUGGCGGCGUGCCUAAUACAUGCGAGUAGAACGCACAGUUUAUACCGUAGCUUGCUACACCAUAGACUGUGAGUUGCGAACGGGUGAGUAACGCGUAGGUAACCUGCCUGGUAGCGGGGGAUAACUAUUGGAAACGAUAGCUAAUACCGCAUAAUAUUAAUUAUUGCAUGAUAAUUAAUUGAAAGGUGCAAUUGCACCACUACCAGAUGGACCUGCGUUGUAUUAGCUAGUAGGUGAGGUAACGGCUCACCUAGGCGACGAUACAUAGCCGACCUGAGAGGGUGAUCGGCCACACUGGGACUGAGACACGGCCCAGACUCCUACGGGAGGCAGCAGUAGGGAAGCUUCGGCAAUGGACGAAAGUCUGACCGAGCAACGCCGCGUGAGUGAAGAAGGGUUUCGGAUCGUAAAGCUCUGUUGUAAGAGAAGAACGGGUGUGAGAGUGGAAAGUUCACACUGUGACGGUAUCUUAACAGAAAGGGACGGCUAACUACGUG
rnacentral:rRNA from 1 species